CACGAACUCUUCUUUAAAAGUUAAAACAAUAUGAUACAUCGACAUUGACCCAUUGACCAUAACAACGAAAAAACUUAGUAUUGGUUUUGUUGGGUCAGGGUAGAAGAUGUCAACAAAAUUUCUUUAAUCAUCCACAUUCAAACUUUCUGGCGACAUCCCACGAGCUAAUUUAUGGUGCUUACGUUACGUACAACAUGAAUAUUCUCUCCAGUUUACGUGAUUGCCUGAGAUGCAGAAGAGCAGCCUCCGCUGGUGACGAUCCAGACGACGGUCGCCAUGAAUCAUGGGAUUUGUUUUUCGGCCUCAAUACUCUUCAAGCUGCUACAGAUUUCUUCUCAGAGCUCAAUAAACUCGGUCAUGGUGGGUUUGGCCCUGUUUACAAGGGUUUAUUACCUAAUGGUCAAGAAGUAGCAAUCAAGAAGCUAUCACUCACAUCAAGCCAAGGAGUUCGCGAAUUCACCAAUGAAGUGAAAUUGUUACUCAAAAUCCAGCACAAAAAUUUGGUGAUGUUAUUAGGAUGUUGCAUAGAAGGACCCGAAAAGAUGCUUGUAUAUGAAUAUCUUCCGAAUAAGAGCCUUGAUUACAUUCUUUUCGAUAAAAAGAAGUCGGGAUCAUUGCAAUGGUCACAAAGAUUUCAAAUCAUAAUAGGUGUAGUAAGAGGUCUUCUCUACCUCCAUGAAGAAGCCCCCAUUAGGAUCAUUCAUAGAGACAUUAAAGCAAGUAAUAUAUUAUUGGAUGAAAAACUAAACCCCAAAAUCGCGGAUUUUGGAUUGGCUAGACUUUUUCCGGGUGAUGAUACGCAUCUGAAUACGUUCCGGAUUUCUGGUACCCAUGGAUAUAUUGCACCCGAGUACGCGAUGCAUGGAUACUUGUCCGUGAAAGCUGAUGUAUUCAGUUUUGGGAUUUUAGUUUUGGAGAUUGUUAGCGGUCGAAAAGUUAGUGACAAGUCAGAUUUGUUAACCGAUAUAUGCUACUCCGCCAUCGACCUCUACAACCUCAAGCAAGAGCGUGUUCCUCCGAUACCGUCUCGCCAAGGAGAUCCAAGCCGAAGAACUGGAAUUCAAGGGUUAAUGGUAGAGGAGGUUAAGUCGCCGGAAAGGGUUAGUGGUGGAGGAGGUGGAAGUUACAGGGAGAUCGUGUUGUGAUUGGGGUUGGUUUGAGGAGACGAUUGUAGCUUCGCCAUAUGAUAUUUAGGCCAGCAGUCGGAAUGACCAAAUCCCAAAUCGGAAACCAAUCAUUCAAAUACAGGCCCUAUAUUCUGAUUUCUUCAAUCUGUGUUCUUGAACAAAUAUACAAAUACAUGCCCUAAAUUCCGAUUUCAUCAAUCUCCCACCACCAUUUUCAUCAACCUUCUAACAUCACCAUCGUCAAGCUCACACUGUUGCCAUCGUCCCUCUAAUCCAAGCCUUAAAUCGGUAGAUCAUCGGUGAGAGAAGUUCUUCAUGUCUUUCAUCUUCACCUUUUCUUUCACUGAUGAACACGAUGAACACCAAGUGUUCUUAGUGUUUGUAUGUAUAAGAAAGAUUGGUCUAAAACCAAAUGAUUCCAGAGAAACAAACAAAAUAAUCCCCUGCCACUUACCUGUAUAUAAAGCCACCAUCCUUGUCUCUCCAUUACAACCUACCAUUCACCAACAGACCAUCCUUAUUUUCUCUAUACCAGUCACCAUGGCCAUUAUCAACCUCUAAAUUUCGAUACCGAGAAGAAGAAAAAUGGAAUUUGAUUCCUUGUUGCUGAGGAUUCUCGCACAUACGCAGAAAAUUGUGCAAGAAGAUGUAAUGAAGGAGAGUACCUGACAUCGUCGAUUGGGAACGAAGAAAAGGGGGUGUUGUUCAUUGACUGAGACCUUUGAUCGAUUGAUAGAAGGAGAUAAAAGAGCAAUGUCGAUCUCUGUUUUGCUUGGGGUAAAGGCUACGAACACAGAAGAAGCACAAUCGGGAUGCAGAAGCAACCACAAACACCGGUUGAUUUUUGUGGUGGGGGAACCGGAAAGAAGACGUACUGUUCUUCUUGGACAUGGAGCCUCUUCCAAAUAGGGAAGCAACUGGAGCUAGUGGAUGAAAGCCUUGAUUCAUGUAGCUCAAGUGAAGCAGCAAUGUGCAUACAAUUAGGGUUGUUAUGUUGUCAAGCUGUAGUUGCAGAUAGACCCGAU